rnacentral:rRNA from 1 species
UACGGGAGGCAGCAGUGGGGAAUAUUGCACAAUGGGCGCAAGCCUGAUGCAGCCAUGCCGCGUGUAUGAAGAAGGCCUUCGGGUUGUAAAGUACUUUCAGUCGUGAGGAAGGUGUUAAGGUUAAUAACCUUAGCAAUUGACGUUAGCGACAGAAGAAGCACCGGCUAACUCCGUGCCAGCAGCCGCGGUAAUACGGAGGGUGCGAGCGUUAAUCGGAAUUACUGGGCGUAAAGGGCACGCAGGCGGUUAAUUAAGUUGGAUGUGAAAUCCCCGGGCUUAACCUGGGAAUGGCAUUCAAGACUGGUUAGCUAGAGUCUUGUAGAGGGGGUAGAAUUCCAUGUGUAGCGGUGAAAUGCGUAGAGAUGUGGAGGAAUACCGGUGGCGAAGGCGGCCCCUGGGACAAAGGACUGACGCUCAUGUGCGAAAGCGUGGGGAGCAAACG